rnacentral:rRNA from 1 species
AAUGAACGCUGGCGGCAGGCCUAAUACAUGCAAGUCGAACGAGUGGCGGACGGGUGAGUAAUGUCUGGGAAAUUGCCUGAUGGAGGGGGAUAACUACUGGAAACGGUAGCUAAUACCGCAUACCAUCAGAUGUGCUCAGGUGGGAUUAGCUAGUUGGUGGGGUAACGGCUCACCAAGGCGACGAUCCCUAGCUGGUCUGAGAGGAUGACAGGCCACACUGUGACUGAGACACGGCCCAGACUCCUACGGGAGGCAGCAGUGGGGAAUCUUGCACAAUGGGCGCAAGCCUGAUGCAGCCAUGCCGCGUGAAUGAAGAAGGCCUUCGGGUUGUAAAGUUCUUUCGGCAGGGAGGCGUUACCCGCAGAAGAAGCACCGGCUAACUCCGUGCCAGCAGCCGCGGUAAUUC